CAGGUAGACCGGGUGACCGCCCCGGCGGCCCAACCAGUUGGGACGCCGGGGAGGAAAGUCCGGGCUCCGCUGGGCAGGGUGCUGGGUAACGCCCAGGCUUCCGCGGCGGCCUCGCCGCCGUGGGAGACGGAAAGUGGCACAGAAACAUACCGUCCUUCCGGCAUCGGAAGGAUAAGGGUGAAAUCGGACGGUAAGAGCGUCCGGUCGUCUGUGGUGACACAGCGACGGCCAAACCCCACCUGGAGCAAGGCCGAAUAGGGGGACUAUGGGUGCCCGGCCCGUCCCCGGGUUGGCUGCUCGACCCCGAUGGUAACAUCGUCCCGCACUGCGCGGGUGUCCAAUGGCCCACGUGGCCUUGGGCGGGCUAGAUAGAUGGUCACCGUCCGCGGUCCCGCCGCUCUGCGGCGCGGCGCCGCGGGUUACAGAACCCGGCUUACAGGUCUGCGUGGCUC
rnacentral:RNase_P_RNA from 1 species